rnacentral:rRNA from 1 species
GGAUUCCCCUAGUAACUGCGAGUGAAGCGGGAAAAGCUCAAAUUUAAAAUCUGGUGGUCUUUGGCCAUCCGAGUUGUAAUUUAGAGAAGCGUCUUCCGCGCUGGACCAUGCACAAGUCUCCUGGAAUGGAGCGUCAUAGAGGGUGAGAAUCCCGUCUUUGGCAUGGACCCCAGGGCUUCUGUGAUGCGCUCUCAAAGAGUCGAGUUGUUUGGGAAUGCAGCUCAAAAUGGGUGGUGAACUCCAUCUAAAGCUAAAUAUUGGCGAGAGACCGAUAGCGAACAAGUACCGUGAGGGAAAGAUGAAAAGCACUUUGGAAAGAGAGUGAAACAGUACGUGAAAUUGUUGAAAGGGAAACGCUUGAAGUCAGUCGCGUCGACCGAGACUCAGCCUUGCCUCGGCUUGGUGUACUUCUCGGACCGACGGGUCAGCAUCAAUUUCGAUCCUUGGAUAAUGGCAAGGGAAAGGUGGCACCUUUACAGGUGUGUUAUAGUCCUCUGUCGCAUGCAAGGGUCGGGAUUGAGGAACUCAGCAUGCACCUCAUCGGUGUCGGGGCCUCGGCCUACGUUACGUGCUUAGGAUGCUGGCAUAAUGGCUUUAAACGACCCGUCUUGAAACACGGACCAAGGAGUCUAACAUGCACGCGAGUGUUCGGGUGGAAAACCCGUGCGCGUAAUGAAAGUAAAAGUUGGGACCUCUGUCGUGGAGGGCACCGACGCCCGGACCAGACCUUCUGUGACGGCUCUGCGGUAGAGCGUGUAUGUUGGG